UUGACCUCAAAUCAGGUAGGACUACCCGCUGAACUUAAGCAUAUCAAUAAGCGGAGGAAAAGAAACUAACAAGGAUUCCCCUAGUAACUGCGAGUGAAGCGGGAAAAGCUCAAAUUUAAAAUCUGGCGGUCUUGCGGCCGUCCGAGUUGUAAUCUGGAGAAGCGUUUAUCCGCGUCGGACCGUGUACAAGUCUUCUGGAAGGGAGCGUCGUAGAGGGUGAGAAUCCCGUCUUUGACACGGACACCGGUGCUUUUGUGAUGCGCUCUCGAGAGUCGAGUUGUUUGGGAAUGCAGCUCAAAAUGGGUGGUAAAUUCCAUCU
rnacentral:rRNA from 1 species